CGCGUCUGGGCAGGGAGACGUGUGGGACGUCUUCGGCACGGCCGGCACCGCGAAGCCGGUGAGCUUCCUCGGUCCGAGUCCCGUGGACGCGA
rnacentral:tRNA from 1 species